GACGAACGCUGGCGGCGUGCUUAACACAUGCAAGUCGAACGGAAAGGCCUGUCCUUCCUUGUGUUGGACGGGUACUCGAGUGGCGAACGGGUGAGUAACACGUGAGUGAUCUGCCCCCAACUUGGGUAUAAGCCUGGGAAACUGGGUCUAAUUCCCGAUAGGACUGUAGGGUGGUGCCUGUGGUGGAAAACGAUUUUCUAGUGGUUGGGGAUGAGCUCGCGGCCUAUCAGCUUGUUGGUGGGGUAAUGGCCUACCAAGGCGGCGACGGGUAGCCGGCCUGAGAGGGUGGACGGCCACAUUGGGACUGAGAUACGGCCCAGACUCCUACGGGAGGCAGCAGUGGGGAAUAUUGCACAAUGGGCGGAAGCCUGAUGCAGCGACGCCGCGUGGGGGAUGACGGCCUUCGGGUUGUAAACUCCUUUCGACCGCGAGGAAGCCGCCUGGUUGGAAGGGUGGUGACGGUAGUGGUAGAAGAAGCACCGGCUAACUACGUG
rnacentral:rRNA from 1 species